CUGCGCGGCCUUUCUCGUCUCCGCGGUCGGGGUGGUGCUGGGCUGCGCGUGCGGCUCCUGCAUGGCGGGGCUCGGUGUGUGCGGCCGCGUGGCCACUGUCGGCUGGGGCGGAAUCCGGGCCCCCGAGCCCGCUGUCGCGCCCGCGGCGGCCCGGCCGAGUCCGGGCCCCGAAUCCGUGGACGGCAGCGCCUGGGCCUGACUUCAGCCACGUUGCACGCGGAACCCCAGGAGGCCCCGAAGCGGACUUGGGUCUGCGUCCCCGCGCCGGGACAUGGGGAGAUCGGUUCGAGUGCAUUUGAGUUUAUCGAUCACCGACUGUAUGCCGGGAGUUUUUAAUAUAAGCGAGGAGUUUUGUGACAGGGAAUGGCCUCGCGUAAGCUCACCCAUGUCACGCGUGGAAUCCGUCAACGUACCAAGUGCCAGUUAAGGUUUAGGCCCUGACCGCCGAGUCCCGGCGCAGACCCCGGCGGAAGUCGGAGGAGGAUCGCCGACUUGGCAGGGGAAAGAUGGGUGUUUGAAGCAUAAACUGCUGCUACCUGAAUUCUACCUGGGAGCACAAGUGACCCAAGGAUGCCCUUGGUGAAGAAUUUGAAAACUUGAUCUUCACAGGAGUUGUCCAGAUCACUUAAAAUUUUCAAGAGUCUGAGGAAGACCAGAACUGUCUCUGGACAGUUCAUAAAUAUCAUUUAACGCAAUGGGUCUGUGAAUAAAUAUUUAAAUAUG